rnacentral:rRNA from 1 species
UACGUAGGCAGCAAGCGUUGUUCGGAGUUACUGGGCGUAAAGAGUGCGUAGGCGGUGUCGAAAGUUUGGCGUGAAAUCUCCCGGCUUAACUGGGAGGGUGCGCCGAAAACUGCGACGCUGGAGUGUGGGAAAGGCAAGCGGAAUUCCUGGUGUAGCGGUGAAAUGACGUAGAGUAUCAGGAGGAACACCGGCGGUGUAGACGGCUUGCUAGACCAUAACUGACGCUGAGGCACGAAAGCGUGGGUAGCAAACAGG